AUGAACGCUGGCGGCGUGCCUAAUACCUGCAAGUCGAGCGAACAGAUAAGGAGCUUGCUCCUUUGACGUUAGCGGCGGACGGGUGAGUAACACGUGGGUAACCUACCUAUAAGACUGGGAUAACUUCGGGAAACCGGAGCUAAUACCGGAUAACAUUUGGAACCGCAUGGUUCUAAAGUGAAAGAUGGUUUUGCUAUCACUUAUAGAUGGACCCGCGCCGUAUUAGCUAGUUGGUAAGGUAACGGCUUACCAAGGCGACGAUACGUAGCCGACCUGAGAGGGUGAUCAGCCACACUGGAACUGAGACACGGUCCAGACUCCUACGGGAGGCAGCAGUAGGGAAUCUUCCGCAAUGGGCGAAAGCCUGACGGAGCAACGCCGCGUGAGUGAUGAAGGGUUUCGGCUCGUAAAACUCUGUUAUUAGGGAAGAACAAAUGUGUAAGUAACUGUGCACGUCUUGACGGUACCUAAUCAGAAAGCCACGGCUAACUACGUG
rnacentral:rRNA from 1 species